GACAGAGGGGGCGAGCGUUGUCCGGAAUCACUGGGCGUAAAGGGCGCGUAGGUGGUGACCUAAGCGUGCGGUGAAAGCCCGAGGCUCAACCUCGGGUCGGCCGUGCGAACUGGGUCACUGGAGCAGAAUAGAGGCAGGUGGAAUUCCGGGUGUAGCGGUGGAAUGCGUAGAGAUCCGGAAGAACACCGGUGGCGAAGGCGGCCUGCUGGGUUCUGGCUGACACUGAGGCGCGACAGCGUGGGGAGCAAACAGG
rnacentral:rRNA from 1 species